rnacentral:rRNA from 1 species
UGACACAGGGAGGUAGUGACAAGAAAUAACAAUACAGGGCUCUUUCGAGUCUUGUAAUUGGAAUGAGUACAAUUUACAUCUCUUCACGAGGAUCAAUUGGAGGGCAAGUCUGGUGCCAGCAGCCGCGGUAAUUCCAGCUCCAAUAGCGUAUAUUAAAGUUGUUGCAGUUAAAACGCUCGUAGUCGGAUUUCGGGGCGGUUUUGCCGGUCUGCCGUUGGGUAUGCACUGGUGCGAGCGUCCUUCCUUCCGGAGACGGCGCCUGCUCUUAACUGAGUGGGUGUCGGAGACGGAUCGUUUACUUUGAAAAAAUCAGAGUGUUUCAAGCAGGCAGCUCGCUUUUGCAUGGAUUAGCAUGGGAUAAUGAAAUAGGACUUUGGUGCUAUUUUGUUGGUUUCGACC